rnacentral:rRNA from 1 species
CAGUCGCCGCGGUAAUACAGAGGGUGCGAGCGUUAAUCGGAUUUACUGGGCGUAAAGCGUGCGUAGGCGGCUUUUUAAGUCGGAUGUGAAAUCCCUGAGCUUAACUUAGGAAUUGCAUUCGAUACUGGGAAGCUAGAGUAUGGGAGAGGAUGGUAGAAUUUUAGGUGUAGCGGUGAAAUGCGUAGAGAUCUGGAGGAAUACCGAUGGCGAAGGCAGCCAUCUGGCCUAAUACUGACGCUGAGGUACGAAAGCAUGGGGAGCAAACAGGAUUAGAUACCCGGGUAGUCCCUGUCUCUUAUAC